rnacentral:rRNA from 1 species
CCCUUAGAUGUUCUGGGCCGCACGCGUGCUACACUGAGUGGAUCAGCGGGUCAGGUUGCGCGAAAGUGUUUCCUAAUCUUUAAAUCCGCUCGUGAUGGGGAUUGACGGUUGCAAUUUUCUGUCAUGAACGAGGAAUACCUUGUAAGCGCGGGUCAUCAUCCCGCGCUGAAUACGUCCCUGCCCUUUGUACACACCGCCCGUCGCUCCUACCGAUUGAGUGGUCCGGUGAGGCUUUGGGAUCUGAGCGGAAAGAGCGUUUCGCUGUUUCUGCUCGGAAAGCUCAGUCGAACCUUAUCAUUUAGAGGAAGGAGAAGUCGUAACA